GAUCAUGGCUCAGGACGAACGCUGGCGGCGCGCCUAACACAUGCAAGUCGAACGGAGUUUACAGACGGAAGUUUUCGGAUGGAAGCUUGUAAACUUAGUGGCGGACGGGUGAGUAACACGUGAGCAACCUGCCUAUCAGAGGGGGAUAACGAUUGGAAACGAUCGCUAAUACCGCAUGACAUAGCGGAAUCGCAUGGUUCUGUUAUCAAAGAUUUUAUCGCUGAUAGAUGGGCCCGCG
rnacentral:rRNA from 1 species